AGUAAUGUCGGAAAUACCUAUUGAACCUCAAAGUACUAAAGCUAUCAUUGAAUCAA
rnacentral:tRNA from 1 species